rnacentral:rRNA from 1 species
CCAGACUCCUACGGGAGGCAGCAGUGGGGAAUAUUGCAAAAUGGGCGAAAGCCUGAUGCAGCAACGCCGCGUGAAGGAAGAAGGCUUUCGGGUUGUAAACUUCUUUUCUCAGGGACGAAUAGAUGACGGUACCUGAGGAAUAAGCCACGGCUAACUACGUGCCAGCAGCCGCGGUAAUACGUAGGUGGCAAGCGUUAUCCGGAUUUACUGGGUGUAAAGGGCGUGUAGGCGGGGACGCAAGUCAGAUGUGAAAACCACGGGCUCAACCUGUGGCCUGCAUUUGAAACUGUGUUUCUUGAGUACUGGAGAGGCAGACGGAAUUCCUAGUGUAGCGGUGAAAUGCGUAGAUAUUAGGAGGAACACCAGUGGCGAAGGCGGAUUGCUGGACAGUAACUGACGCUGAGGUGCGAAAGCGUGGGGAGCAAACAGGAUUAGAUACCCUAGUAAC